rnacentral:rRNA from 1 species
UCCUACGGGAGGCAGCAGUGAGGAAUAUUGGUCAAUGGGCGGGAGCCUGAACCAGCCAAGCCGCGUGAGGGAAGAAGGUACAGCGUAUCGUAAACCUCUUUUGUCAGGGAACAAAGGCGGGGACUAGUCCCCGGAUGAGGGUACCUGAAGAAAAAGCAUCGGCUAACUCCGUGCCAGCAGCCGCGGUAAUACGUAGGUGGCAAGCGUUAUCCGGAUUUAUUGGGCGUAAAGCGAGUGCAGGCGGCUGGUUAGGUCUGAAGUGAAAGGCGUCGGCGUAA